CAAACAGUCAGCUGUCUGUGAUGUCACUGUGAUGCAGCACAGUCACCGUGGUGACGUUUCUGAAUGACCCAGCCCACUCUUUGUUCCCCACACCACGGGAGCCGUUGCAUUUCAUCCUGCUGCUGGCAGGACAAACCUCAUCGGCUGGAGAAACGUGGACAGAAAUUUCUGAGUGAAAAAUUAAUAACUAAAUUAAUAAUUAAAUAAUUAAUAAUUAAAAUGGAGAGAUCUUCAUCAGAAAGAUCAAAUGUUUCUGUUCCGGACAUUGACUCGGCUGCCUCAGCUUCUUCUGUCCUUCAAGUACAUGGUAAAAGAGUUGCUCAGGAUGCUGCUUUAGGAUCUAUGAAAGGAGAAAACACUCCUCAAGGUUCACGUGAGGAACUCUGCACAAAAAGACUACGUCUUAAUCUGUCUGAGAAGUGCUCUGGCAAAGCCUAUGACUCAUCAUCCUCCUUUCUGAAAAAACUCUGGGAAAUUGUUGAAAGCAAUCACUUUCAGUCCAUUUGGUGGGCUGAUGAUGGAAACUCUAUAGUGAUUGAAGAAGCAUUCUUCAAAAGGGAAGUGCUGGCAGGGAGGAUGUCUGCAAAUUUUUGACAUUGACAGCAUGAAAACUUGCAUUCAUCAGCUUCAUCUUCAUGGAUUCUUCAUUAUAGAAGGAGAUUUGCCAAGAUCUGUUUCACGUGAUAAAUUCCAAAUGGAUGAAACAGCAGUUUCCACUUUUAGCAAGUUUCUCUACUACUAUAACCCCUAUUUCAAGAGAGAUUAUCCCCAUCUGCUAAGAAGAUUCAAGCGAAGUACUACUAUAAAAAAGAGAGCACCGGGUGCAUUCUCACUGGACCUGGAUUUGAAGGAGGGCCACCUGAGAAGAAGACCUCUGAAGAAACGGUCAGGCCCUGCUGCGUCAGUGGGCACUGAGCUCCCCGGUAGCAUCCAGGAUGCUGCUCCUACUUCAUCUGCUGCUUCUCCAUAUCACAUUGCAUCUUUUGUACCAAACAGCCCUUUUCCACCAGGACUGGGACCAGAUAGUGGAGCUGCAGGUGACGGGGUUGGACGUCAACACAAUUUAUACUACAAAAAGUAUAGAUGCUAGGUAUCGAGUGAAUAUAGUAGUUCCAAAAAUAAAUUUUCUGAAUAUUUUCCAGUUGUCCUGUCCUGUUACUUCAGUUUGAUGGUUACUCUUCCUAUGCCCAAGGAUGGGGGGAUGCCUUCAGGGAGUUUUCAUUUCUCUGAUCCUUUUAAAAACAACCAUUGUUGUCCCUGCCCUCUAGGUUUUGGAAGACCUGCUAAAUGCUAAGCAGGCUCUGUGUGAAGCAAGUCUGGUCCAAGGAAUGAUGCAAGCACAGGGCACGCAGGUGGGCAGCUGGAGCUGUAUGAAAUGCCUGAUCCCCUUCCUUCUCUGCCUUUCCUCUACGGGUAGAUGCCAUGACAGCACAGGGACAGGAGGCCUCUGAUGAGCCAUUCAGCUUGUGGGGAUCCCUGGUGGUCUCUGAUGUGAAUUCAGCUGUCCUGUGAGCAGUAUGUGCCUGGCACUGCCCUUCUGCUUACCAGUCUGACCUAUGCUGAGAUUCUUGCAAAUGAGUGGCUUCCAGCUGUGGGCAGCUUUUUGGUGCAAACGCUGAUUGAAUCCUGCCCCAACAUAAGAGGUGAGCUCAGAUACCUGAGCGCAGGUGGGAGCAUUGGAAAUAUUCAUACUGGCAGUAAUGAGGGACAGCUCUCUGAGCUGCUUGUCAGACCUCCCAGCGUUCAGAGGAGCCCCAAAGGGUGUUCUAGCAGAAAUAUGCACAUCUGUCUCUUUUCCUCAGUGAGAAAGUAAUUAGAUAUAGAGUCAUCGUCUGCCCUUCUGAAAG
rnacentral:lncRNA from 1 species